UAUAUAAAAGCUUUUUUGAGGCCUUGCUCACAAUUAAUUCUGUGGCAGCACAAUGACCAAACGAUAUACUGUAUGUGAGGCUCUUGAUCAUAUCUUUGAUCAUGACACUGGUGAGGAGGAGAGAGUCCUUGUUAAACUUUGAUACAAAGUAGUCUGUGAUAAAUAGCACUAUAUGUUUUAUCUGAGUAUUUGUUAUAGUCAAAAUAAUCUAGACAUUAUGCUUUUUAAAAACUUUGUUGUGUGAGUGUAACAGUAUAAGUUUAAACCGUCCCCUCGCCCAUACCCGGGCGCGAACCAGGGACCCUCUGCACACAUCAACAACAGUCACCCUCGAAGCAUCGUUACCCAUCGCUCCACAAAAGCCGUGGCCCUUGCAGAGCAAAGCAGGAACUACUACUUCAAGGUCUCAGAGCAAGUGACGUCACCGAUUGAAACGCUAUUUAACGCGCACCGCUAACUAAGCUAGCCGUUUCACAUCCGUUACAUGAGCUCAGGUAAAUGAGGCCUACAGGCCAUAAAUAGCAAAUAGAAGAUCAAAACAUGUAAUGUUCACAAGAACAUGAGUUGAUAAAAAGAUCUAACACAACAUUAGGUGAUAAUAUAUGUAUUAUUAUGGAUUUAUAAAUCAGGUAUAAUGGGGAGGUCAUUUUGGACUGGGAACACAGAAUUAAUUAACAUUAAUUAAUGAACACAACAGGAGGGUUAAACAAUUUCUGGUCAACCUAUUUUCUCUUGCCAUCAUUAAUUAUGUUUACACCAGAAUUAUCAAAGAUACAUUUACAAACUGCUGUGGAAGAUAGUUUAUGAAAGAAGAUUGAACAACCAAAUAUGAACUGCAAUUACAUCAAACUAUGAACUGCAAUUAAAUUGAAAUAUGAACUGCAAUUACAUCAACAUAUGAACUGCAAUUAGUCUCACAGUAGACUAGACACCAUUUCAGUCACGCAGUAGACUAGACACCACAUCAGUCACACAGUAGACUAGACACCACAUCAGCCUCACAGUAGACUAGACACCACAUCAGUCACCCAGUAGACUAGACACCACAUCAGUCUCACAAUAGACUAGACACCACAUCAGUCACCCAGUAGACUAGACACCACAUCAGCCUCACAGUAGACUAGACACCAUUUCAGUCACACAGUAGACUAGACACCACAUCAGUCACACAGUAGACUAGACACCACAUCAGUCUCACAAUAGACUAGACACCAC
rnacentral:lncRNA from 13 species